rnacentral:rRNA from 1 species
UGGGGAAUAUUGCACAAUGGGCGCAAGCCUGAUGCAGCCAUGCCGCGUGUGUGAAGAAGGCCUUCGGGUUGUAAAGCACUUUCAGCGAGGAGGAAGGUGGUGGACUUAAUACGUUCAUCAAUUGACGUUACUCGCAGAAGAAGCACCGGCUAACUCCGUGCCAGCAGCCGCGGUAAUACGGAGGGUGCAAGCGUUAAUCGGAAUUACUGGGCGUAAAGCGCACGCAGGCGGUUUGUUAAGUCAGAUGUGAAAAUCCCCGGGCUCAACCUGGGAACUGCAUUUGAAACUGGCAAGCUAGAGUCUCGUAGAGGGGGGUAGAAUUCCAGGUGUAGCGGUGAAAUGCGUAGAGAUCUGGAGGAAUACCGGUGGCGAAGGCGGCCCCCUGGACGAAGACUGACGCUCAGGUGCGAAAGCGUGGGGAGCAAACAGAUUAGAUACCCUGGUAGUCCACGCUGUAAAACGAUGUCGAUUUUGGAGGUUGUGCCCCUUGAGGCGUGGUUCCGGAGCUAACG